rnacentral:rRNA from 1 species
GACGAACGCUGGCGGCGUGCUUAACACAUGCAAGUCGAGCGAGGCUUCUCCUUCGGGAGAUGUCCUAGCGGCGAACGGGUGAGUAACACGUGGGCAACCUGCCCCUAGCUCUGGGAUAACUCCGGGAAACCGGGGCUAAUACCGGAUACGACCUCGAGCGGCAUCUAUCGAGGUGGAAAGUUUUUCGGCUAGGGAUGGGCCCGCGGCCUAUCGGCUUGUUGGUGAGGUAACGGCCCACCAAGGCGACGACGGGGUAGCCGGCCUGAGAGGGCGACCGGCCACACUGGGACUGAGACACGGCCCAGACUCCUACGGGAGGCAGCAGUGGGGAAUAUUGCGCAAUGGGCGAAAGCCUGACGCAGCGACGCCGCGUGAGGGAUGAAGGCCUUCGGGUUGUAAACCUCUUUCAGCAGGGACGAAGCGCAAGUGACGGUACCUG